UACGGGGGGUGCGAGCGUUGUCCGGAAUCACUGGGCGUAAAGGGCGCGUAGGUGGUCUGAUAAGGGUGUGGUGAAAGCCCGGGGCUCAACCCCGGGUCGGCCGUGCCGACUGUUAGACUAGAGUGCUGUAGGGGCAGGCGGAAUUCCGGGUGUAGCGGUGGAAUGCGUAGAGAUCCGGAGGAAGACCGGUGGCGAAGGCGGCCUGCUGGGCAGUUACUGACACUGAGGCGCGACAGCGUGGGGAGCGAACAGG
rnacentral:rRNA from 1 species